rnacentral:rRNA from 1 species
AUUGAACGCUGGCGGCAUGCCUUACACAUGCAAGUCGAACGGUAACAGGUCUUCGGAUGCUGGCGAGUGGCGAACGGGUGAGUAAUACAUCGGAACGUGCCCGAUCGUGGGGGAUAACGCAGCGAAAGCUGUGCUAAUACCGCAUACGAUCUACGGAUGAAAGCGGGGGAUCGCAAGACCUCGCGCGGACGGAGCGGCCGAUGGCAGAUUAGGUAGUUGGUGGGAUAAAAGCUUACCAAGCCGACGAUCUGUAGCUGGUCUGAGAGGACGACCAGCCACACUGGGACUGAGACACGGCCCAGACUCCUACGGGAGGCAGCAGUGGGGAAUUUUGGACAAUGGGCGCAAGCCUGAUCCAGCCAUGCCGCGUGCAGGAUGAAGGCCUUCGGGUUGUAAACUGCUUUUGUACGGAACGAAAAAGCUCUCUCUAAUACAGGGGGUGAAUGACGGUACCGUAAGAAUAAGCACCGGCUAACUACGUGCCAGCAGCCGCCGUAA